rnacentral:rRNA from 1 species
ACGGCCUACCAAGGCUACGAAGGUUAGCUGGUCUGAGAGGAUGAUCAGCCACACUGGAACUGACACACGGUCCAGACUCCUACGGGAGGCAGCAGUGAGGAAUUUUGCGCAAUGGGGGAAACCCUGACGCAGCAACGCCGCGUGAGUGAUGAAGGCUUUCGGGUCGUAAAGCUCUGUCACUGGGAAGAACUUGUCUGGUGCGAAUACCACCGGGCACUGACGGUACCACUGAAGGAAGCACCGGCUAACUCCGUGCCAGCAGCCGCGGUAAUACGGGGGGUGCAAGCGUUAUUCGGAAUCAUUGGGCGUAAAGGGCGCGUAGGCGGCCUCUUAAGUCAGAUGUGAAAGCCCGGGGCUUAACCCCGGAAGUGCAUUUGAAACUGAGAAGCUUGAGUAUGGGAGAGGGAAGUGGAAUUCCUGGUGUAGAGGUGAAAUUCGUAGAUAUCAGGAGGAACACCGGUGGCGAAGGCGGCUUCCUGGACCAAUACUGACGCUGAGGCGCGAAGGCGUGGGUAGCAAACAGGAUUAGAUACCCUGGUAGUCCACGCAGUAAACGUUGAACACUAGGUGUAGCGGGUAUUGACCCCUGCUGUGCCGCAGUUAACGCAUUAAGUGUUCCGCCUGGGAAGUACGGCCGCAAGGUUAAAACUCAAAGGAAUUGACGGGGGCCCGCACAAGCGGUGGAGCAUGUGGUUUAAUUCGACGCAACGCGAAGAACCUUACCUGGGUUUGACAUCCCGAGAAGUCUCUUGAAAGAGAGAUGUGCCCUUCGGGGAAUUCGGAGACAGGUGCUGCAUGGCUGUCGUCAGCUCGUGUCGUGAGAUGUUGGGUUAAGUCCCGCAACGAGCGCAACCCUUAUCUUUAGUUACCAGCAUUCAGUUGGGGACUCUAAAGAUACUGCCCCGGUUAACGGGGAGGAAGGUGGGGAUGACGUCAAGUCCUCAUGGCCCUUAUACCCAGGGCUACACACGCGCUACAAUGGGCUGUACAAAGGGUCGCGAGCCCGCGAGGGUUAGCUAAUCCCAUAAAGCAGCUCUAAGUUCGGAUUGGAGUCUGCAACUCGACUCCAUGAAGCUGGAAUCGCUAGUAAUCGUGGAUCAGCACGCCACGGUGAAUACGUUCCCGGGCCUUGUACACACCGCCCGUCACACCAUGAGAGUUGGUUGUACCAGAAGUUGUUGGACCAACCCGCAAGGGGGGUAAGCACCUAAGGUAUGGCUGAUGAUUGGGGUGAAGUCGUAACAAGGUA